CUCCCUGCCCAGCCCAGACCUCGCUGUCGUCCUCUCCUCCCCAAUAGCCGCCUCGAUGUCUAGAGAAGAGCGCGCCGCCCACACCUUCCGCGGCAACGCCACCGGAACCACACCCCUCUAGAACCUCCGGCGGGAAGCCCCACUUCGCCGGCCGGCCGCCUCGCCUCCCCGCCUCCCGCGCGCGGCCUCCCGGGGCAUGGAGGCCUCGAUCGAUCGGCGCCCGACCAAUUUGCCGCGUCGCUUUGCGGCCGCGGUGCGGACCGGAGCGCGCGAUGCGAGAGUGGACGGGGAACUGCGGCGAGCGGCGAAUGCGGAGCUCGACCCGUCUCUCGCUCCCCCUCCGCCAGUCUGCCUUCCGCCGCGCACGGGAAAACGCGGUUCGCGGACGCCGCGAAUUGGAAGCCUCGGCGGGCUUGUCGUUCAGCACGCCGCGCGCGUCGAAAUGAUCGCGUGGGCCUGUAGCCGCGGCUAGGGGCCGGAGUGCGUCGAACGCGGCGGGCGGCGACGCUCGGUCCCUUGCCCUCCAGGCUGCGUACGGAUCGGCGACCGGCGGGCGGCGGCCAGAGGAAAUCAGGAGAAAGUAGAGCUUCUCCAGGCUUUCAAGAUAGAACCUGACCUGAGGUGAAGCAGGAGAUAUGGCAGGAUCAACUCUGAGCAUUUAAAUUCACAGCUCGAUGGAAUCUUGUUGGGUCAACUUUGCUGUAAGAUACUACUGUUUUGAAAUGGAAGCUUCUGGCACUGCUUUGCAUCCCAUGUGGUGCCUAAUGUUAUCUGGUGUGAUCUGAAUCAGUGCUCUUUCUGUCACAGCUUAUAUGGAACUUUCUUGCUGUGAUGAACUUGUUUACAUGAUGAUUAUGAUGAGUACCAAGCUUACAUGCGGCUUUGAGGUAUUCAGAUCUCUUACUGCUAUGGCAACUAUUAUGGAUAGAUGAAGGCAUUUUACCUUGCUUGAACAUCUACAGAUCAAGUACCAGAAUUGGUCUAUGCUUUGCUAAGAACAAAUCAAGUCCAUGAUCAUACUAUCAGUAACUGUACGCUUAUCAUCUCUCCUAAGUCUGCAAUCAAACUAUAUAUGGUCUGCAGUCAUAUGAUAUUUGUGUUUAAGUUUUUUCUUUGUUUGCAUGCAUGAAUUAUUGCUAGCUUGCCUGCAAGACCAAAAUGUAGACAUUGACCAAAUUCAAGUUGUCUAAAGCCUGCAAGAGCAAUACACGAUAGGUAGAGAUCAAGAUGUAGCCAAUGAUGGACAUGCCAAGCAAUUGGUACUGUCUGUAUUUCCUCUUCAUGAUGAGGUGCUGGCAAGCCAUUCUUGGCUGCAUCGCACUCUCUGCCCCGUUGUGCAUGGCCCUUGCUACACUCUUUCAUUAUGCUUUUCUUUAGUAAUUUUGCUAGGUCCUUAUGGUGUAUACAUAGAUAACUAUAUUUAUAGGAAGCACUGCAAGUUCAUCUGGAACGGUUCUGGAACCUCCUUUUGUCAUAAAGUUUGAAAUUAUUGGCAUAAACUUUUUCUUAUUGGACUGAUGGUUCUAGAGCCUUUCCAUUAGUUGAGGCUUUUCUUGAUUUCCAUUUUCUAACAAGAUUUGUGGACCAAGAAGUUGGCACCUAUGGAUUUGCUUUGUCAGGCUGGUUGAGUGAAGCAUCAUCUAUUCAUUGGUUUUUGUUUUGGCCUUUCUGAGGUGGCAUCCCGUGUCAAUUGCGAGUCACAAUUUUUGACUGAAAGGUGGAGCCUCGCAUCUUCCCCAUUAGAUUAAAGAAAAAGAGGUUUUGACUGGAUAGCAUGUAUCAUCACAAAAGAUGGGAUCAUGGGACCCGUGCUUCUGACAACAAAGAUGACUCAUGUAGCUCAUGAGUCACGACUAGUUACUUUUGCUUGUUCAUGGUGCUUAGUGCCUUUAUUUAUCACAUGAUAUUGUGAAGCUGCUCUUGAUACAAUGAUCCUUUGGUGGCUCUGGUCCUUAUUUAGAUUAUUGGUCUUACUGCUUUCCCUGCACAUAUUCAGUAAAUCCUGGCCUUCAGAUUUUUCAGGAUUAGUGACAGCCUUGUUCAAAAGCUAAAUCACACCUGCAAGCACAAGCGAGGCAUCCACUUUGACAUAUGAAGCUAAAAAUGGGCAUUGCAUUUCAGUCUGCUAGCUGUUGCUAGGUUCUCUAUCACUGUACUUUGCAUGUGUUUUGGCAUAUGAAAGCUUCAGUACCAGUGCCCAUCACUGUAUGGAUAUCAUGAGCAGAACCAGGAAAAUGGACGAAAUUAUCUGAUCUCUGAGGCCUGAAAGUCUAUCAAAAUUUUAGUGUGAAUUUAUUUCAAUUAUGGCAGAUGCUAUGGUAUGUUGGGCAGGAUACCUUAAUUUAAGCAAACCAUAUAUAUUUAAUUUCUCCAAUGAUUGUAAAGUUCUUGAUUUAAUUCCAAAUUGUUAGGUCUACUAAGCGUUUCUCUUCAUCUGCCACUGUAUCUGUUUUCUUCCUGAUUGGGAAUACUCAAGAGUUAAUAUGCACUAUAUUUAUUCUGAGGUCUAACAAUGUUAUAUUGGUAACCUUUGCAAUGUGCUUUUGCAGGCAAUCUUCUGAGAGUGUUUUUUUAUAAAAAGAAUAAAGUGCAAUCUUCAGGCGUCUGUCAUGUAAAAUGUGCGUUUUUUUUUAAAGAAUGCAAUGUGCAAUCUUCAGACGUCUGUUAUAUAAAAUGUAACUUCAGUAGAACAUGCCAGUGCGAAGAUGCCAUUGGUAAGUCUACUAAUGUGAGAGUGGGAGCAUCUUGACCUAACUUUUAGAGACAA